rnacentral:rRNA from 1 species
GGUAACACUGAAUGGAGGACCGAACCGACUUACGUUGAAAAGUGAGCGGAUGAACUGAGGGUAGCGGAGAAAUUCCAAUCGAACCUGGAGAUAGCUGGUUCUCUCCGAAAUAGCUUUAGGGCUAGCCUCAAGUGAUGAUUAUUGGAGGUAGAGCACUGUUUGGACGAGGGGCCCCUCUCGGGUUACCGAAUUCAGACAAACUCCGAAUGCCAAUUAAUUUAACUUGGGAGUCAGAACAUGGGUGAUAAGGUCCGUGUUCGAAAGGGAAACAGCCCAGACCACCAGCUAAGGUCCCAAAAUAUAUGUUAAGUGGAAAAGGAUGUGGCGUUGCCCAGACAACUAGGAUGUUGGCUUAGAAGCAGCCAUCAUUUAAAGAGUGCGUAAUAGCUCACUAGUCGAGUGACACUGCGCCGAAAAUGUACCGGGGCUAAACAUAUUACCGAAGCUGUGGAUUGUCCUUUGGACAAUGGUAGGAGAGCGUUCUAAGGGCGUUGAAGCAUGAUCGUAAGGACAUGUGGAGCGCUUAGAAGUGAGAAUGCCGGUGUGAGUAGCGAAAGACGGGUGAGAAUCCCGUCCACCGAUUGACUAAGGUUUCCAGAGGAAGGCUCGUCCGCUCUGGGUUAGUCGGGUCCUAAGCUGAGGCCGACAGGCGUAGGCGAUGGAUAACAGGUUGAUAUUCCUGUACCACCUAUAAUCGUUUUAAUCGAUGGGGGGACGCAGUAGGAUAGGCGAAGCGUGCGAUUGGAUUGCACGUCUAAGCAGUAAGGCUGAGUAUUAGGCAAAUCCGGUACUCGUUAAGGCUGAGCUGUGAUGGGGAGAAGACAUUGUGUCUUCGAGUCGUUGAUUUCACACUGCCGAGAAAAGCCUCUAGAUAGAAAAUAGGUGCCCGUACCGCAAACCGACACAGGUAGUCAAGAUGAGAAUUCUAAGGUGAGCGAGCGAACUCUCGUUAAGGAACUCGGCAAAAUGACCCCGUAACUUCGGGAGAAGGGGUGCUCUUUAGGGUUAACGCCCAGAAGAGCCGCAGUGAAUAGGCCCAAGCGACUGUUUAUCAAAAACACAGGUCUCUGCUAAACCGUAAGGUGAUGUAUAGGGGCUGACGCCUGCCCGGUGCUGGAAGGUUAAGAGGAGUGGUUAGCUUCUGCGAAGCUACGAAUCGAAGCCCCAGUAAACGGCGGCCGUAACUAUAACGGUCCUAAGGUAGCGAAAUUCCUUGUCGGGUAAGUUCCGACCCGCACGAAAGGCGUAACGAUUUGGGCACUGUCUCAACGAGAGACUCGGUGAAAUCAUAGUACCUGUGAAGAUGCAGGUUACCCGCGACAGGACGGAAAGACCCCGUGGAGCUUUACUGUAGCCUGAUAUUGAAAUUCGGCACAGCUUGUACAGGAUAGGUAGGAGCCUUUGAAACGUGAGCGCUAGCUUACGUGGAGGCGCUGGUGGGAUACUACCCUAGCUGUGUUGGCUUUCUAACCCGCACCACUUAUCGUGGUGGGAGACAGUGUCAGGCGGGCAGUUUGACUGGGGCGGUCGCCUCCUAAAAGGUAACGGAGGCGCUCAAAGGUUCCCUCAGAAUGGUUGGAAAUCAUUCAUAGAGUGUAAAGGCAUAAGGGAGCUUGACUGCGAGACCUACAAGUCGAGCAGGGUCGAAAGACGGACUUAGUGAUCCGGUGGUUCCGCAUGGAAGGGCCAUCGCUCAACGGAUAAAAGCUACCCCGGGGAUAACAGGCUUAUCUCCCCCAAGAGUUCACAUCGACGGGGAGGUUUGGCACCUCGAUGUCGGCUCAUCGCAUCCUGGGGCUGUAGUCGGUCCCAAGGGUUGGGCUGUUCGCCCAUUAAAGCGGUACGCGAGCUGGGUUCAGAACGUCGUGAGACAGUUCGGUCCCUAUCCGUCGUGGGCGUAGGAAAUUUGAGAGGAGCUGUCCUUAGUACGAGAGGACCGGGAUGGACAUACCUCUGGUGUACCAGUUGUCGUGCCAACGGCAUAGCUGGGUAGCUAUGUGUGGACGGGAUAAGUGCUGAAAGCAUCUAAGCAUGAAGCCCCCCUCAAGAUGAGAUUUCCCAACUUCGGUUAUAAGAUCCCUCAAAGAUGAUGAGGUUAAUAGGUUCGAGGUGGAAGCAUGGUGACAUGUGGAGCUGACGAAUACUAAUCGAUCGAAGACUUAAUCAA